rnacentral:rRNA from 1 species
UACGGAGGGAGCUAGCGUUGUUCGGAUAUACUGGGCGUAAAGCGCACGUAGGCGGCGCAGUAAGUCAGGAGUGAAAUCCCGGGGCUCAACCCCGGAACUGCCCUUGAAACUGCAGUGCUAGAAUCUUGGAGAGGCGAGUGGAAUUCCGAGUGUAGAGGUGAAAUUCGUAGAUAUUCGGAAGAACACCAGUGGCGAAGGCGACUCGCUGGACAAGUAUUGACGCUGAGGUGCGAAAGCGUGGGGAGCAAACAGG